AGCAUCAACCUUGAUGGGAGACCGUCUUGGUUGGAUUUGGGCGUCUGCCGUCCGCGGCUCGCCUUAAAAGCAUUAGCGGUCUGGCCUUUGACUCUGGCGAAUUAGGUUACGCCGGCCGAGGGGUCUUCCGCUCACAACCUGCCCCCGGGCAAUUCUUUUGACU
rnacentral:misc_RNA from 1 species